rnacentral:lncRNA from 11 species
AAUAAGACCCCUUUUUCAAUCCAAUGCUUGUUUAUAUUAUUAUUAUUAUUAUUAUUAUUAUUAUUAUUAUUAUUAUCAUCAUUAUUAUGACCCCUUAUUGCAAUCAUUACCACUUAUUGCUUGUUUGUAUAAUAAUCAUAAUCAUAAUAAUAAUCAUAAUAAUGAUGAUGAUGAUAAACAAGAAUUGGAUUGCAAUAAGGGGUCACAAUAAUAAUAAUGUAAGUGGUAAUAAUAAUAAUAAUAAUAAACAACUAGCAUUUGUUGGCUCGUUUUAGUUUGGAAAAUGGGACGAACAGAACGAGAGAGGAUUGGGAAAUGACUAUUUUUAUUUCUUCUUCCCCAGCUUAAGAAAAAUAAAACAGCUUUUGUCCAUAAUCUCCUCCCGGAAGAACGAGCGGCCGAAAAAGCUCCAUAAAAAAAAAUAAAAUCAUACGCAACAGAAAGCUUUCGAGAUACCGCUGGCCGUUGCCCGGAACAGGAGAUAUAUAUAUAUAUAUAUACACACACACACACACACACACACACACAUAUACACAUAUAGAUAUGCACAUAUACAUGUGUGUUUUUUGUGCAUUGGUAUUAUCUUUCUCCCCAUACGGUUCAAAAGAGGCAACUCUGGCGUAUCAGUCUAACAACCGAGCAACCUAAGUGCCUUGCACCAAGAACUCACGCACAGAUAUACUGUCAUGUACAAGUUUGUGUUUUUUUUUUAUGUGUGCACUGACAUUACCUUUCUCCCCCUAACGGUUCAAAAGAGGCAACUCUGGCGUAUCAGUCUAAUAACCGAGCAACCCAAGUGCCUUUCACGAAAUAUUUAUUUUCCGAAAAAAUUGUUUUCAAUGGCUACCGUCACCAAAACAUAUACACGUAUACGUUUGUGUUUUUUUUUUGUGCACUGGCAUUAUCUUUCUCCCCCUAACGGUUCAAAAGAGGCAACUCUGGCGUAUCAGUCUAACAACCGAGCAACCCAAGUGCCUUUCACGAAAUAUUUAUUUUCAAAAAAAAAAAAAAAUUGUUUUUGUUUUCAAUGGUUACCGUCACCAAAACAUAUACAUAUAUACGUGUGUGUGUGUGUGUUUUUUUGUGCACUGGCAUUACCUUUCUCCCCCUAACGGUUCAAAAGAGGCAACUCUGGCGUAUCAGUCUAACAACCGAGCAACCUAAGUGCCUUGCACAAAGAACUCGCGCACAGAUAUACUAUCAUGUAUAAGUUUGUGUUUUUUUUUGUGCACUGGCAUUAUCUUUCUCCCCCUAACGGUUCAAAAGAGGCAACUCUGGCGUAUCAGUCUAACAACCGAGCAACCCAAGUGCCUUUCACGAAAUAUUCAUUUUCCGCAAAAAUUGUUUUCAAUGGCUACCGUCACCAAAACAUAUACACGUAUACGUUUGUGGUUUUUUUUUUUUGUGCACUGGCAUUAUCUUUCUCCCCCUAACGGGUCAAAAGAGGCAAAUCUGGCGUAUCAGUCUAACAACCGAGCAACCUAAGUGCCUUGCACCAAGAACUCACACACACAUAUAUACAUACAUAUACACCUAUGUGUGUUUGGGUUUUUUGUGUGCACUGGCACUAUCUUUCUCCCCCUAGCGGAUCAAAAGAGGCAACUCUGGCGUAUCAGUCUAACAACCGAGCAUACCUAAACACACACACAUAUACCUAGAAUCAUAGAAUAGUAGAGUUGGAAGAGACCACAUGGGCCAUCCAGUCCAACCCCAUCUGCCAAGAAGCAGGAAAUCGCAUUCAAAGCACCCCCGACAGAUGGCCAUCCAGCCUCUGCUUAAAAGCCUCCAAAGAAGGAGCCUCCACCACGGCCCCGGGGAGAGAGUUCCACUGGUGAACAGCCCUUCUCACAGUGAGGAAGUUCUUCCUGAUGUUCAGUCUUUUUCGCACACACUGCUGUCGAGCCAGGCAUCGUCCCCCAUUCUGUCUCUUUGAUUUCCGUCCCUAAACCCCGCCUCCUUUUGUCGCUACUCUCCUUCCGAUUGGCCGCUUCAUACGAGGCCUUGUGCCAUGAUUGGCAGCUCCGGCUGUCACUCUCCCACCCUUCCUCGAGUUCCCUGAAUUUGAAACUUUAUCUCUCUCUCGUUUUUUUUCCGGAAGAGUCAAGUUUCAACCUCGGAUCCCGGGAGAGAUUCGAGAGAAAAAAAAGCAAACUAAGAAAUGCCCGAGAAGCCGCUGUUGUAAGCCGAUACAAUUUCUCGUUCUGCGAGGAGGAAUCCCCGAAUUUUGCAUUUCGCAAGAAAAUAAAUACAAAAUUCUCUUGCAAUCGAUAUAUAUAUAUAAUAUAUAUUCUGCAAGGAUACACAACAUGCAGGUAAGGAAAGAGGGGAAAAAAUUGCACGGGUGUGUGGUCAGCGGGGGAGGAAAAAAAUGUGCCGAGCUCGGCAAAUUCCGCGCUGAAUUUUUUUCUGCUCUCUCGUUUCCGAGACAGGCUGAAUUUUCCGCCCUUGUUUAUAUUCAAAAAACGGGAUGUUAUGUGUUGUCGGGGGAGAUUUCACGAAUCUCUGGCUUGUGGCGAGUUUUCCGGGCCGUUUAGGUCCACCUCCCGGUAGCACUCUCUCCUGACGUUUCGCCCACCAUCUACGGCAGGGCAUCCUCGAGACGUUGUGUGCGGUCUGUCGGAAACCCGGCAAGCCGAUCACCGCUGGGACCACCCUGACUGGCUUGUGCCAGAUUAUUACUAUUAUUAUUAUUAUUAUUAACAUAACGAGACCCUUCUGACCAACAACCAGGGUUGUUUUCCGGGCGGUUAGGUCCCACCUCCCGGUAGCACUCUCUCCUGACGUUUCACCCACCAUCUACGGCAGGGCAUCCUCGAGACGUUGUGUGCGGUCUGUCGGAAACCCGGCAAGCCGAUCACCACUGGGACCACCCUGACUGGCUUGUGCCAGAUUAUUACUACUAUUAUUAUUAUUAACAUAACGAGACCCUUCUGACCAACAACCAGGGUCGAAAACGGCUCUUCCUCGUCCCUCUAAUUUUGACUUUUAUUUUCUAGGUUUUUUUGAUUGAAAGACAUAGAAGGGAUGACUAUGUCUUUUGUGGGCAAAUUUGGUGUGAUUGGGUUCACUGGUUUUGUUGUUUACUCAGUCCUACAAACGUACAUAUAUAUAUAUAUACACACACACACACACACACACAUAUAUAUAUAUAAAUAAAAGCUGUGGCGAAGUAUGGUGGUAUGGGAAAUAAAGUAUUGAGGAAUUGGUGGUAGUUAAGGUAAAGGGUCCCCUGGGCUGAGUGAGUUGCUAGGAGGCCAAGUGGGCGGAGCUUAGCCUUCUAACUGGCAGCAAUUUGAUAAAAACAAUUAUUCCUCUCCUUCUAAUUAGGACUUCAUUUUUCUUUUCUUUUUGUUGUAUCAACCAAGAGGCAUGGAUGAGGGGUUGUGGUGUCAAUUUUCGAGGUUGUGGGGUGUUUACUUUUUGUUGUUUUGUCCGCUGCCGUGACGCCAUUACUCUUUUAUAUAUAUAUAUAGUUGUUGUUGUUAUUAUUAUUAUUAUUAUAUAUGAGCCCUGGGUGGUGCGGUGGAAUUAAAUCGCUGAGCUUACAAACUUGCUGACCAAAAGGUCGAUGAGCCCCAGCUUCUGCCAAUCUAGCUGAUGUAAACAAACAAGCCGAUAUAUAUAUAUAUUGUGUUGCACAGGUCAAGAUGCUUUCCUGAAGCCAUCGGCUCGGACUACAACUCCCAUCGCCCUGAAGGGAGAGCCAAUGCCAUGCGGCGAAGAUCGAGCCGGAGCCUCUUCGUGAAAUUUCCGGAAAGGAGCAGCCGCUCGUAAUCCAAACGCAAACACGACCAGCGUGCUUUCGUCUUUGUUUACCGACCGAAAGGUGAGUCGCUCCCUUCGGAAAUCCGGUUCACUCUUUCUAUACCCGUCCCAUAUGCAUAAGGUUGUGGGCGAACUACAACUCCCAUCAUGCCAGGUCCGCGUGGAAAACCCUUCUUCUGUAUUGACUUUCCUCCCGCUGCCCAUCUGCCUCUCUCUCUCAAUUUCCCCUCCGAUAAAUUAUUUAUUCAGACCGUUGUCUUGGAACGGCUCCACGAAACAUUCGAUCCGUUUGUGUGUCUAUGGUUACAAACAGACGGACAAAAGAGAGACGUGGUUUUCGGUUACUGAGUCCUCCCCACUCCUAGGGUCUUCAAAAGAUGUUGAUAGGAAUCUUGGAUGAUCUGGACUGAUCCUUAUGAGAAUUCAGUGUCUGAAGGGAUCCCAUAAAACGUGGCCUCCUAACCUUGGGUUGAAGGCCUCCAAAGAAGGCCUCGUUCGACCUCAAAAACACCAUAAAACGUGGCCUCCUAACCUUGGGUUGAAGGCCUCCAAAGAAGGCCUCGUUCGACCUCGGAAACACCAUAAAACGUGGCCUCCUAAUCUUGGGUUGAAGGCCUCCUAACCUUGGGUUGAAGGCCUGCAAAGAAGGCCUCGUUUGACCUCAGAAACACCAUAAAACGUGGCCUCCUAAUCUUGGGUUGAAGGCCUCCUAACCUUGAGUUGAAGGUCUCCAAAGAAGGCCUCGUUCGACCUCAGAAACUCCAUAAAACGUGGCCUCCUUAACUUGGGUUGAAGGCCUCCUAAUCUUGGGUUGAAGGCCUCCAAAGAAGGCCUCGUUCGACCUCAGAAACACCAUAAAACGUGGCCUCCUAAUCUUGGGUUGAAGGCCUCCUAACCUUGAGUUGAAGGUCUCGAAAGAAGGGCCUCGUUCGACCUC